UGGGGAAUUUUGGACAAUGGGCGAAAGCCUGAUCCAGCAAUGCCGCGUGUGUGAAGAAGGCCUUCGGGUUGUAAAGCACUUUUGUCCGGAAAGAAAUCCUUGGCUCUAAUACAGUCGGGGGAUGACGGUACCGGAAGAAUAAGCACCGGCUAACUACGUGCCAGCAGCCGCGGUAAUACGUAGGGUGCAAGCGUUAAUCGGAAUUACUGGGCGUAAAGCGUGCGCAGGCGGUUUGCUAAGACCGAUGUGAAAUCCCCGGGCUCAACCUGGGAACUGCAUUGGUGACUGGCAGGCUAGAGUAUGGCAGAGGGGGGUAGAAUUCCACGUGUAGCAGUGAAAUGCGUAGAGAUGUGGAGGAAUACCGAUGGCGAAGGCAGCCCCCUGGGCCAAUACUGACGCUCAUGCACGAAAGCGUGGGGAGCAAACAGGAUUAGAUACCCUGGUAGUCCCACGCCCUAAACGAUGUCAACUAGUUGUUGGGGAUUCAUUUCCUUAGUAACGUAGCUAACGCGUGAAGUUGACCGCCUGGGGAGUACGGUCGCAAGAUUAAAACUCAAAGGAAUUGACGGGGUCAUAGCUG
rnacentral:rRNA from 1 species